rnacentral:sRNA from 1 species
CUGAAAUCGCUGAUAGUAAAAUUAAGGCAGUUGA